rnacentral:tRNA from 1 species
GUUUUUGUAGUGUAUAAUUUUAUAGCAUUAAAGAUUUUCAAUUUUUAGGAAUAAGUUUAAUUUAUCAAAAAUA